rnacentral:rRNA from 1 species
AGACAGCAGCCGCCACGGGAAUACAGAGGGUGCGAGCGUUAAUCGGAUUUACUGGGCGUAAAGCGUGCGUAGGCGGCUUCUUAAGUCGGAUGUGAAAUCCCUGAGCUUAACUUAGGAAUUGCAUUCGAUACUGGGAAGCUAGAGUAUGGGAGAGGAUGGUAGAAUUCCAGGUGUAGCGGUGAAAUGCGUAGAGAUCUGGAGGAAUACCGAUGGCGAAGGAAGCCAUCUGGCCUAAUACUGACGCUGAGGUACGAAAGCAUGGGGAGCAAACAGGAUUAGAUACCCCAGUAGUCCCUGUCUCUUAUAC